rnacentral:rRNA from 1 species
AUUGAACGCUGGCGGCAGGCCUAACACAUGCAAGUCGAGCGGAUGAAGGGAGCUUGCUCCUGGAUUCAGCGGCGGACGGGUGAGUAAUGCCUAGGAAUCUGCCUGGUAGUGGGGGAUAACGUCCGGAAACGGGCGCUAAUACCGCAUACGUCCUGAGGGAGAAAGUGGGGGAUCUUCGGACCUCACGCUAUCAGAUGAGCCUAGGUCGGAUUAGCUAGUUGGUGGGGUAAAGGCCUACCAAGGCGACGAUCCGUAACUGGUCUGAGAGGAUGAUCAGUCACACUGGAACUGAGACACGGGCCAGACUCCUACGGGAGGCAGCAGUGGGGAAUAGUGGACAAUGGGCGAAAGCCUGAUCCAGCCAUGCCGCGUGUGAAGAAGGUCUUCGGAUUGUAAAGCACUUUAAGUUGGGAGGAAGGGCAGUAAGUUAAUACCUUGCUGUUUUGACGUUACCAACAGAAUAAGCACCGGCUAACUUCGUG